rnacentral:pre_miRNA from 1 species
ACAACAUUCGGACCGUCGGUCUACCGAGCAAUAUCACCUGCUCGGUGGAAGAAUUUUCCUUUCGUCGU